AAAUUCUAUUAUUUUUCAAAAGUUCACUGGGGUCAUUUGACCCCUAUAAUUCUUCAUUGGCUCCGUCCCUGAUGGAGAGCAUGCUUGAUGGACUGACCUUGUCUCAUCAAAUCCUCACAUUUUCUUUUCGCAUUAUUGUGAAAACUAUUCACAUCCAAUCCCACAUGUUGGUCCAACCUAUCAGCCUUAUUCCAACUACAAAAACUAGUUGAUAGAAAGCUAUCACUCCCUCCUUGAUUUCCAGCUUGAUCUCUGAAUAAGUAACAAUACAAGCAAAAAGCUUUUUCUUUCUCCACACUAUACUCCAACCAAUCACCAUACAAAUCAAACCAUUUUGGAUUAAAACGGCGUAACACCUUUCCAAUUGCUAUUUGUUUAAACUUAUGACCACGAGGUUGACAAGGUCCCCUAAUCAAAUAUUCACGUCGUACCUCAUCUCUUUGAUUAGGAUGAUAACUUAGAAUGCUUUUUCUCUUUGCGGGAUCACUUGGCAAUUCAUUUAAAUUAAUAUCAGGUGGUGGCGGAGAUUUUCUUUUCAGAAACCGAUACAUUAUUUUUGUUGUUGCCUUGCCUACAUACAAAAAUAAGAAACAAUAUAAAAAUCAUGAGUUAAAACUUAAAUCAAAUAUAAAAAUUGUUUUCUCCGUGGCCUUAUCAUGAUUCAUGACAACUUUAAUUUUUGUCAUUAGUAAAAAUUACUGUGAGAUUAAAUUAGAAACUAAAACAAACUACAUCAAAAAUUAAGAAGAAAACAGUAUAUUGACGACUAACGUUACAAAGAAAACUCAUGAAUAAUGACGAAUUGAGUUUUCAAUUUUUGACAGAAUAACAACACCAAAAACUAAAUUAAUCACAAACAAAUUUUGCUUAAGUGAUCAAAUUGAAAUUGGUUGAUAGUUA
rnacentral:sRNA from 1 species